rnacentral:tRNA from 1 species
UGGGGAGUGGUCUAACGGUAGGACAACAGAUUCUGAUUCUGUCAGGUGAGGGUUCAAAUCCUUCCUCCCCAACCA